rnacentral:rRNA from 1 species
UACGGGGGGGGGCAAGCGUUGUUCGGAAUUACUGGGCGUAAAGGGCUCGUAGGCGGCCAACUAAGUCGGACGUGAAAAUCCCCAGGCUCAACCUGGGAACUGCGUCCGAUACUGGAUGGCUUGAAUCCGGGAGAGGGAUGCAGAAUUCCAGGUGUAGCGGUGAAAUGCGUAGAUAUCUGGAGGAAUACCGGUGGCGAAGGCGGCAUCCUGGACCGGCAUUGACGCUGAGGAGCGAAAGCGUGGGGAGCGAACAGG